UACGGGGGGGGUAAGCGUUGUUCGGAAUUACUGGGCGUAAAGGGCUCGUAGGCGGCCAACUAAGUCAGACGUGAAAUCCCUCAGCUUAACUGGGGACUGCGUCUGAUACUGGAUGGCUUGGAUUCGGGAGAGGAAUGCGGAAUUCCAGGUGUAGCGGUGAAAUGCGUAGAUAUCUGGAGGAACACCGGUGGCGAAGGCGGCAUUCUGGACCGACAUUGACGCUGAGGAGCGAAAGCCAGGGGAGCAAA
rnacentral:rRNA from 1 species